UGCAGAUCGAGGAGAUGCGCCCCAAAGAGUGACGGAGGAGGUGAGCGGAGGGCUGUGAGAAGAUGGAGAGCCACAAGCAAAGUAGGAUUUUGGCACCGGAGGCAGCUUGGGCAAGGUGGCACGCGAGCCUUGACGUGACAACUGGAAACGGCAGCGGCAGGGCAGGUGAAGGGCCGAGGUGCCGCAGAUGGCCGCGGAGGGGCCGAGCCGCACGCAGACGGACAGUGUGAGAAGGUGCUUUGGGAGCCGCCUUUGGGAUGGGAUGAGCGUUUGAAGCGAGCCGGGGUAGUCGCAAGGAGGAUCGUGGGUGACUCGUUAGAAGCGCAAGGGUAACUUUGUCUCUCGGUAUCUUAGGUAACGCCAGCGAUGACGGCUGCACCAUCUGACUCUGCAAAGAGCCCGUGAAGAGGAAGGCGGCAACUGCAGGAACGUGCUAGUUAGCUGCCGUGCUGCUUUUGUCGAGGAUGGAAUCGGACCUCCGUCCCUCUGAAAGCUAAGUCGAGCGAACGGGGCCGAGA